rnacentral:misc_RNA from 1 species
AGAGGGUCAUUUGCCACAUUUGAGCGCCCCAGCUUUGUUGGCCCAAGUGAUCCGGCGAGCCCUUUCGCGGUGAGCGAUGGCACUGCUUGUAGUUGUGGGAAAUGAAUGAAGAAGUCAAUUGACGUCAGUUAGGUCCGAGUUACUACGGUACAGGCACAGCUACUAAGUGGGGUCCCAAAAAAAAUUGUAAUAAGGUGGAGAUGUUGACACCUGGCGAAUAAUUUGUGGACAUUAGUCCAUUGUACUUGGGAUAAAUAUGUACUGAUGUAAUGAGAUGAAAUGAUAUUUUGGAAAGGAUAAGAAAUGCCCACGUGAUAAUCACGUGAUGAGGGAAUGCUACUUUGUUUUUAUCCACCUCGUUUCUUUUUUUCCUUGUUUUCGAGCGGGGAAGUUGGCAGAAGCUAUAAAGAGAUGAAAUGCUGCUAUUAAUUUUUGUACUUUUGGGGAACCCUCCAACAUGGCCUUUUCAGAAGAAAACAACGCCGCGUAUGGAUGAAAGAAUCUUUCUUAGUCUCUUGGAAACAAUCCAAACUUGUUAAUGACCCACUAACCUGAUUAUGGUGCAGAUAGAUUCUCCCUCGUUGCCACUUUUUUGCAGUCCUCCGUUAUCUACACCACCACCAGAUUCUUGAUUGAGGACUAUUCUAUCCUUAUUUUUUUAAAAAGAAACUUGUUUUGGGAAACAAACAGAACAAGCUUUUGAACCAUUUCGAUGUAUAGCCAAUCAUGGACAUAGAGGUUGAUGUACAAACAAAAACGUUAUUUUUUUAAUAU